GGCCUUAGUGUUGCCCGUUCCUUUCUCUUUGUGAUGAACGAGGUGUCAGAAAAGGCCCACAGUAAAUCUUCUCCUGAUGAUAAGCGAAGGCAGGACUCACUGACUCCUGACUGACUUCUGUCUCGAGAUGAACACUU